GUUCACUCCAGCAGUACAUGUACUAAAAUUGGAACGAUAGAAAGAUUAACAUGGUCUCUGCACAAUGAUGACAUGUAAAUUUGUGAAGCAUUCCAUAUUUAU